GGACGGGKUGAGUAACSSCUUGAGCAACCUCCCCUUCAGCGGSGGGAUAKCGUCUGGAAACGGACGGUAAUACCGCAUAAACGUGSGGAGGGAGACAUCUUUCWCUGCWCCAAMGGAUUUAUCCWCURAAGGAUGGGCUCGCGUCCGAUUAGGUAGUUGGCGGGGGUAACGGCCCMCCAAGCCCGCGAUCGGUAGCCGGMCUGAGAGGUUGAUCGGCCACAUUGGGACUGAGACACGGCCCAGACUCCUMCGGGAGGCAGCAGUGGGGGAUAUUGCACAAYGGAGGAARCUCUGAUGCAGCGACGCCGCGUGAGGGAAGAAGGUCUUCGGAUUGUAAACCUCYGUCUUWAAAGAMGAAGAAAGUGRCGGUACYUAAAGAGGAAGCCACGGCUAAYUACGUGCCAGCAGCCGCGGUAAUACGUAGGUGGCGAGCGUUGUCCGGAUUUAYUGGGUGUAAAGGGUGCGUAGGCGGGUUAUCAAGUUGGGUGUGAAACCUCCGUGCUUAACACGGAGCCUGCAUUCAAAACUGGUAAUCUUGAGUGAGGUAGAGGUAGAUGGAAUUCCCGGUGUAGCGGUGAAAUGCGUAGAGAUCGGGAGGAACACCAGUGGCGAAGGCGGUMUACUGGGCCUUAACUGACGMUGAGGCACGAAAGCAUCUGUAGCGAACAGGAUUAGAUACCCUGGUAGUCCA
rnacentral:rRNA from 1 species